UCCAAAACUCUUAAAUGAUGAGAACUUUUUCCGAACCGGUAUUUAGGAAGAGCCGGAAGAGGUAUGGCAAAGGCGAAAUCGGAGAACGACUUUUCCUUUCUCUUUGUUGUCGGUGCUUAUAAUGGUUCUGCUGAGAGGAGUUUUGCG
rnacentral:snoRNA from 1 species